rnacentral:rRNA from 1 species
CCUACGGGAGGCAGCAGUAAGGAAUAUUGGUCAAUGGAGGCAACUCUGAACCAGCCAUGCCGCGUGCAGGAAGACUGCCCUAUGGGUUGUAAACUGCUUUUAUCCGGGAAUAAACCUACUUACGUGUAAGUAGCUGAAUGUACCGGAAGAAUAAGGAUCGGCUAACUCCGUGCCAGCAGCCGCGGUAAUACGGAGGAUCCAAGCGUUAUCCGGAUUUAUUGGGUUUAAAGGGUGCGUAGGCGGCCUGUUAAGUCAGGGGUGAAAGACGGUAGCUCAACUAUCGCAGUGCCCUUGAUACUGAUGGGCUUGAAUGGACUAGAGGUAGGCGGAAUGAGACAAGUAGCGGUGAAAUGCAUAGAUAUGUCUCAGAACACCGAUUGCGAAGGCAGCUUACUAUGGUCUUAUUGACGCUGAGGCACGAAAGCGUGGGGGAUCAAACAGGAUUAGAUACCCUGGUAGUCCACGCCCUAAACGAUGAACACUCGCUGUUGGCGAUACACAGUCAGCGGCUAGCGAAAGCGUUAAGUGUUCCACCUGGGGAGUACGCCCGCAAGGGUUGAAACGUCAAAUUGAUUGACGGGCUUGAGACGNGCGACGGCGACGACGAGGGAGGAGG